ACGGCAGCACGGGCGGGGGUAACCUCGCCUGGUGGCGAGUGGCGAACGGGUGAGUAAUAUAUCGGAACGUACCCUGGAGUGGGGGAUAACGUAGCGAAAGUUACGCUAAUACCGCAUACGAUCUACGGAUGAAAGUGGGGGAUUCGCAAGAACCUCAUGCUCGUGGAGCGGCCGAUAUCUGAUUAGCUAGUUGGUAGGGUAAAAGCCUACCAAGGCAUCGAUCAGUAGCUGGUCUGAGAGGACGACCAGCCACACUGGAACUGAGACACGGUCCAGACUCCUACGGGAGGCAGCAGUGGGGAAUUUUGGACAAUGGGCGCAAGCCUGAUCCAGCAAUGCCGCGUGAGUGAAGAAGGCCUUCGGGUUGUAAAGCUCUUUUGUCAGGGAAGAAACGGUGUUUUCUAAUACAGAAUGCUAAUGACGGUACCUGAAGAAUAAGCACCGGCUAACUACGUGCCAGCAGCCGCGGUAAU
rnacentral:rRNA from 1 species